AGGUCCUUUAUAACGUCUUGCCUGCAAAAGGGCCCCCACGUCAGAUGGAGAGGUGCAGAGCUGCUGCAGCGCCCAUUUAUUACAGAGCUGCAAUCUAACGGCCAUGAGAGCUGAAAUGAAAGAGCACCUGCAGGCACCGAGGAACAAGUCUACCGAGAAAGAACACAAAUUGGGAUGGCCUCUUGAAUAAAACUGUGACGCCAGCAAUCAUGUCUCUUAUGGAAAGCUCAAGCAAUAACAGCAGCUCUAAAGCAAACCUUGUUAUAACUACUGGCGAGAGUAAAUUGCCUAUCCCAGCCUCUGUCAAUGAAGCGCUCCAGGACUUUGAGUAUUAUGCUGGUUGAGUGUGUGAGAACGGCCACGUGUAACCGACCUGGCACAUUAUAGGCUGAAGUUGACGCAAGAAACAGUCGGAGCGCUUGAGGUCCUUUAUAACGUCUUGCCUGCAAAAGGGCCCCCACGUCAGAUGGAGAGGUGCAGAGCUGCUGCAGCGCCCAUUUAUUACAGAGCUGCAAUCUAACGGCCAUGAGAGCUGAAAUGAAAGAGCACCUGCAGGCACCGAGGAACAAGUCUACCGAGAAAGGUGAGCAACUUCAUGAUUUUAAUUCCCAGAUUUUUCACCACAGCUUCUUAUAUUUUUAUAGAGAAAUCUAUACAGAAGGGUGCUCUUCAGUGAAGGAAGGAGCUGUGGGUGCCAAGAUCCAGCACCCAGGAUGAUGUUUGAAGAAUUCAUCAACGUCUUCCAACUACCCUGGUGCCACUAAUGACAUCCUCUUCUACUGCCAUGAGAUUUGCCAUUAAUAUUUGUUCAUUACAAAUAAAUAUUUAUAUUGCAAAUGAA